GCUGGGGUCCCCGCACACUGGGCCUGCGCUGAGCGGCAGGUUCCCCCAGCCUGGCAGGGAGGAGGGCGCCCCACUCAUGGGCAGGGUGAAGUCAGAUGAAUGCCCAGAGAGAGGCGCAUUAUUAUUGUUGUCAUCACCAUUAUUAUCAUGAAGAGUCAUUAUUGACUCUGUGACCUAGGGACCCAUUAUCCCCCGACUGUAGGCCACCCCCCGCCUCCCACCCCAAUUCAUGGAGUCCCUGCUCGCGGCCAGAGCUGCCAGAGUAAACACAGGACACCGGUUACAUUUGCAUUUCAGAUAGACGAGGAAUGACGUUUUCGCCCAAGUAUGUCCCCAGUGACUGUUCCCCUCCCUGUCUUAGCUUCGAGUCCUUGUUGUUGUUACAAAUAACCUCUCUCAACGCUGGAAUGACACAUCUAAUCGCAGAAAAGCUUCGGGAUGAGAUGCAGAGCUCCCUGUCCCUUUCGCCGGUUUCCCCGGAAGUGAACGGCUCCCAGGACCAGCAUACAGUUGUGGAAACUGAGAAAUCCAUGUUGGGGCGAUGCUAUUGACUAAACUCCCAACUUCAUUCAGGUGCCCCCGGAUUUUCCACGAACGUCCGUCCCCCUUGGGUUCAGGGAUCCCCCACGGCAUGGAGUCACCCUGUCGCCCCCGUCUCCUCGGGUCUCUGAUGGCUCCCCGGACGUUCCUUGUUUGCCUCACGUCUUCGGCAGAAUUGCAGAGUGCUGGCCGGGGUCCCCCGGGACAUCUGAACGCCCCCCAAUCUGGGUUUGUGUGAUGCCCUAUUGUGAUUAGAAGGGGGCCUGGGGUUCAGGGGGAGGACCACAGAGACGAGGUGCCCUCCAGGCCACGUCAUCCCAGGGCACCUGCGGUCUGCGUGGCUGGCCACCGUGAUGUUGAUGAACCCUGUGCUUUGCGGCUGGGGCACUGGAGGAACUACCUCCAGGACCUUCAGGGCCAGGGGGAGGUUUGGUUCCAGAACGUGACGACAGCCUGAGCCAGGCCCUGGGCCAGCUGCCGGGAUGUGCCCCUUCUUGGUGCGGCUCUGCUGGAAGACAAGUGCAAAGAGGGCAGCCCGGGGCUUCAAAACGGUCCUCUUACCUUCUUCCCCCGCGGUGCCGAGAGGUGGGCACUGCAGCCUCAAACCGGGGCUGAGAGGCAGGUGCUGGGGGCGGCCUGAGUGGCUUCUCUGGCUUGCAGCCUAAAGAACGUCGCCUUGAACGCUCACAGUUGAUUUAACCGGCGCAGCAACUCUGUGAGGUGAUCCGAAUUUUCUGAGGAGAACAGAGGCUCAGAGAGGCUGCGAUACCUCCUGAAGGCCACACAGCAACUCGAGUCUGCCGACACCCACCAGCUCCCGUCCCUAUCUCUGUGGUUAAGACGAUUUUCCAGUGUCACCCAAGCAGCCAGCUGCGGGGGCCGCGGCUGUUUACACGUCUCUGUCGGUCGGAACAGCGUGUCGGAGGGCCAGGGCAAGGCCUGUGUGAGCACUUUCGAUUGUGGAAAAACAAAUGUGAUUUCAGAAAGGAAAAAAAAAGAAGAGGAAAAAUGAAACGGAAAACAACGGUUCGCGGAGCUGGCACUCUGAGGCCGGGCCCCGACUACGAUUCCUGACGACCCGCGGAGGGCUGCUCCGGUCUAUUCUAGAAGACUCCCGGCGCCCGGGGGGCCGGCCGCCUGUGCCCUCAGCCUCGCCCCUCAGCACGCGGGCCACUCGGGUGUGCGUGGAGGACACAGCUUCUUUGCACGGGUCGCGGGCAUGUGUCCCCGGGUAGCCACGUGCUCAUUGCAGUCCAGUCAAACAAUCAGGUUUUUCUUAAGACGUCAAAACUUUUCCACCGAAAGGGCAGGUUUUAAAAAUAUGUGUAGUAUGAGGGAGUUUCCCUUUCCCUUUUAUUUUUCCAGGAGUAGAUGGGAAGUUCAGCCGUGUGUGUGUGUGUGUGUGUGUGUGUGUGUGUGUGUGUGUGUUGGUGGGGACACAGGGCCGAGGGACAGGAAUAAAAAACUAGCAUUG